GCGGUAGUGACGGUGGCGUUUCCUUGAGGAAGAGUGAGGGUUCCAACUUUUCUGCUUAUCUGGGAGGUGUUGGGCGCGGACAGUCGAGAUGUCAGAGAAAAAGCAGCCGGUAGACUUAGGUCUGUUAGAGGAAGACGACGAGUUUGAAGAGUUCCCUGCCGAAGGGCAACUGUACUCCUGAUGAUAUUGGUCUGUGAAACCCCGUAUGGCUGCUAUGUUCUCCACCAAAAGGGAAGAAUGUGCAGUGCUUUCCUCUGCUGUUAACAGAUCAUCAACCUGUAUGUGUUCAUGGCCCCACCUAAAUGUAAAGAGCUGGGAUGCACAGGAUUGGAGAGCUAUUAUUGAGCACUAGUCAUGUGGAUAUGUGCAUGGAGUCAGUAAGGAGGGAGUGGGGUGGUGCUACAGCAUUUCAGGCAAAGAGAGCAGCCUGGGUGAAGGUCCAGCCUGGGCAAGGUAGGAUUAUGGUUAGCAUACUGCAGUAUUGUUGGGUAGUAAGAGAUUAUGAUACUUCCUGUAGCUACAUAACAGGGGCUUACUUGAAGGGUGACCCUAUUUAUUGUUUCAGUCACCAGUGUUCAGUGGAAAGUCAUGUCUUUCAUAUAAAAAGGAGGUCAGGCACAGUGGCUCAUGCCUGUAAUCCCAGCACUUUGGGAGGGCAAGGCAGGUGGAUCACCUGAGGUCAGGAGUUCGAGACCAGCCUGGCCAACAUGGUGAAACCUGUCUCUACUAAAAAUAUAAAAAUUAGCCAGGCAUGGUGGUGCAUGCCUGUAAUCCC
rnacentral:lncRNA from 1 species